AUUGAACGCUGGCGGCAGGCCUAACACAUGCAAGUCGAACGAGUGGCGGACGGGUGAGUAAUGUCUGGGAAACUGCCUGAUGGAGGGGGAUAACUACUGGAAACUGUAGCUAUUACCGCAUACCCUCGGAUGUGCCCAGAUGGGAUUAGCUAGUGGGUGGGGUAACGGCUCACCGAGGCGACGAUCCCUAGCUGGUCUGACAGGAGGACCAGCUACACUGUAACUGAGACACGGGCACGAGGCACAGGGGAGGCAGCAGGGGGGAAUAGUGCAGAAUGGGCGCAAGCAUGAUGCAGGGAUGCCGCGUGUAUGAGGAAGGCCUUCGGGUGGGAAAGGACUUUAAGCGGGGAGGGGGUACCCGCAGAAGAAGCACCGGCUAACGACGUGCCAGCAGCCGCUGUAAUUC
rnacentral:rRNA from 1 species